ACAUAUAUACGACAGGCUUCUUUCAGUUUCUAGCUACCAAAUCCCCUGACAAGAGUUUGGUCGAGCCUGGGUCUAUUGUAGAAGACUUUUGCCUAAGGUGCCAUGCAGUGGGACUGAACCCGGAACCACGUAGUUGAGAAGCAAAUUUCUUACCACACA